UGAAGCUCCAACCACUACCACCCCACAAUACCUACAUCAAUGGAUAGAGCUCCUCAAGACCUAGCUAUUGAUGCCAAUUUCACCCUGAAAAUCCGGUGACCAAAAUCCGGCCAAAUUCCGGCGACCUCCCCGAACACCCUCUUUUUGCAUACCACCAUUUUUUCGGCCACUUGAAUUGUAAAAUGACUUGCUGCUGGUUUUGCUGCUGUUUUGCUGUUGUUUUUAUGCUGCUUUAGUUGCUGAACUACUGUUAAUUCUUUUGCUACCAGGUCGUUUAUGGAUUUUUUAAGCAUGUUUUCAAGCUAUUAUAUCCGAGUAACAAUGAUAAGUAUGCCAUGAAUGACUUUAAGUGUAUAACACAUAAGCAUGAGUUUGUUUUAGUUGCUGAAAUUUCACUGCCAACAUAUGCUUCUAGGAAUGCUGUGAUAAUAUCUUUGU